rnacentral:sRNA from 1 species
AUAAGCUAACAACAAGCAAAAUUUUUCAUUCUUUCCCUUUUAGAAUGAAAAUCCCAAACUCCCUUUUGACCAAUGUGGUUUACUCCCUUUUCUCCACAUUGGUUUUUGU